rnacentral:rRNA from 1 species
CCUACGGGAGGCUGCAGUGGGGAAUAUUGCACAAUGGGCGCAAGCCUGAUGCAGCAACGCCGCGUGAAUGAUGAAGGCCUUCGGGUCGUAAAGUUCUGUCCAAAGGGAAGAAUACAGUGACGGUACCUUUGGAGGAAGCCCCGGCUAACUACGUGCCAGCAGCCGCGGUAAUACGUAGGGGGCAAGCGUUAUCCGGAAUCACUGGGCGUAAAGGGAGCGUAGGCGGUUUGACAAGCCAGAGGUGAAAGGCAAUAGCUUAACUAUUGUAAGCCUUUGGAACUGUCGAACUUGAGUGCAGGAGAGGAAAGUGGAAUUCCUAGUGUAGCGGUGAAAUGCGUAGAUAUUAGGAGGAACACCAGUGGCGAAGGCGACUUUCUGGACUGUAACUGACGCUGAGGCUCGAAAGCGUGGGGAGCGAACAGGCUUAGAUACCCCAGUAGUC